rnacentral:rRNA from 1 species
CCUACGGGAGGCAGCAGUAGGGAAUAUUGCUCAAUGGGGGAAACCCUGAAGCAGCAACGCCGCGUGGAGGAUGAAGGUUUUCGGAUUGUAAACUCCUUUCGUUAGAGAAGAUAAUGACGGUAUCUAACGAAUAAGCACCGGCUAACUACGUGCCAGCAGCCGCGGUAAUACGGAGGGUGCAAGCGUUACUCGGAUUCACUGGGCGUAAAGAGCGCGUAGGCGGGAGAGCAAGUCAGAAGUGAAAGCCUAUGGCUUAACCAUAGAACUGCAUUUGAAACUGUUAUUCUAGAGUAUGGGAGAGGUAGGUGGAAUUCUUGGUGUAGGGGUAAAAUGCGUAGAGAUCAAGAGGAAUACUCAUUGCGAAGGCGACCUGCUAGAACAUAACUGACGCUGAUGCGCGAAAGCGUGGGGAGCAAACAGGAUUAGAUACCCCGGUAGUC